AGUGAACGCUGGCGGCAGGCCUAACACAUGCAAGUCGAACGGCAGCACAGUAAGAGCUUGCUCUUACGGGUGGCGAGUAGCGGACGGGUGAGGAAUACAUCGGAAUCUACUUUUUCGUGGGGGAUAACGUAGGGAAACUUACGCUAAUACCGCAUACGAUCUACGGGUGAAAGCAGGGGAUCUUCGGACCUUGCGCGAUUGAAUGAGCCGAUGUCGGAUUAGCUAGUUGGCGGGGUAAAGGCCCACCAAGGCGACGAUCCGUAGCUGGUCUGAGAGGAUGAUCAGCCACACUGGAACUGAGACACGGUCCAGACUCCUACGGGAGGCAGCAGUGGGGAAUAUUGGACAAUGGGCGCAAGCCUGAUGCAGCCAUACCGCGUGGGUGAAGAAGGCCUUCGGGUUGUAAAGCCCUUUUGUUGGGAAAGAAAAGCAGCAGGUUAAUACCCCGCUGUUCUGACGGUACCCAAAGAAUAAGCACCGGCUAACUUCGUG
rnacentral:rRNA from 1 species